rnacentral:rRNA from 1 species
UACGUAGGUGGCGAACGUUAUCCGGAAUUAUUGGGCGUAAAGGGUGCGUAGAUGGCCUGAUAAGUUAGCAGUGGAAAAUCGAGGCUCAACCUCGUGGAAGCUGGUAAUACUGUCAGGCUCGAGUGCAGGAGAGGUUAACGGAACUCCAUGUGGAGCGGUAAAAUGUGUAGAUAUAUGGAAGAACACCAAUAACGGCGAAGGCAGUUAACUAUGCUGUUACUGACAUUGAGGCACGAAAGCGUGGGGAGCAAACCGG